AUUGAACGCUGGCGGCAUGCUUUACACAUGCAAGUCGAACGGUAACACGCCGCAAGGUGCUGACGAGUGGCGAACGGGUGAGUAAUGCAUCGGAACGUGCCCAGUCGGGGGGGAUAACGCAGCGAAAGCUGCGCUAAUAUCGCAUACGAUCUAUGGAUGAAAGCGGGGGACCGGAAGGCCCCGCGCGAUUGGACCGCCCGAUGUCAGAUUAGGUAGUUGGUGGGGUAAAGGCGCACCAAGCCAACGAGCCGUAGCUGGUCUGAGAGGACGACCAGCCACACUGGGACUGAGACACGGCCGAGACUCCUACGGGAGGCAGCAGUGGGGAAUUUUGGACAAUGGGCGCAAGCCUGAUCCAGCAAUGCCGCGUGCAGGAAGAAGGCCUUCGGGUUGUAAACUGCUUUUGUACGGAACGAAAAGGCUCUGGAUAAUACCUGGGGCUCAUGACGGUACCGUAAGAAUAAGCACCGGCUAACUACGUGCCAGCCGCCGCCGUAAGAC
rnacentral:rRNA from 1 species